GGGCGCAUCACUUCACAGGUCUUCAAAAAGACAAGCAAUACAGUUAAAACCUCCAUACCUUAUGGAAGGUUGAGUGAAAUCCUUUAAUGAGUACAUAGAAGAAGGAAUUAAGCAGAUAACCUUGAAGAACUAUACAAGAAAAUUUAUGUUGUUGUCUGUGCUGAUCCCACGGUGAAGAAAUCUGAUAAGGAACCACCCAAGGGCACUAUAAACGUUUAUGACAUGAUUGAAGAAUUAAUCAACAAGGGGUAUGAACGUCGAAAUAACGCAGCUGCAAUGCAAACUCUUGUUAUUAAUUGGUUGGAAAAUAUCAUGCAAGAGCGCUCAAAUAAUGGCAGAGGCUUACGUGUUAUUCCAUUGAACUUAUACAAGUUUCAAAUUGUUGGCUAUGGCAUGUUCGUUGGAGUAGUCAACUUAGAAAAUAAGACAUGCUCAUGCAAGGAAUUCGACAUUGAUGGAUUUCCUUGUGUCCAUGCAAUUGAAGCAUGUAAGCAUUGACAUAUUUCUCCAUAUAUCCUUUGCUCGGUGCAUUACUAAGUUGACUCACUCUGUGACGCAUAUUCGAAAACCAUAUAUCCACUUGGAGAUAAAUGUCAGUGGCAUGCUCGAGAUGAUGUCAUAAACCAGUUGUACUUCCACCUAAGAUUGGAAAACAGUCAGGAAGACCAAGAAAGAAGAGGAUUCAAUCUCAAGGAGAGGAGCAUCUUCAAUAUAGAUGC